rnacentral:lncRNA from 1 species
UGAUGAUGACCACGUUGAUACAAAGGGGAAUAGGAAAUACAUGGAAGAUUUGGAGCCUAGGCCAAGUGUCUCAGCAUAUAGUGAAGAAAUCGUGAAAACCUUUGAGCCAAGGCCUAGUGUCACAGCAUAUAUUGAACAUGAUCAUAAAGGUGAGAAGCUAGCGUUGAACAGUGAGUUUGAACCCAGACCAAGUGUCACAUCAUAUCGUGAACAAAUUGUGAAAACCUUUGAGCCGAGACCUAGUGUCACAGCAUAUAUCAAAGAUGGUCAUAAAGGUGAGAAGCUGAUGGUGGCUAAUGAGUUUGAACCAAGACCAAGCGCUACCAAGUAUAAUGACUA